rnacentral:rRNA from 1 species
GGUAGCGCGGUGCCGGGGGGGGGGGGAAGACGUAGGGGGCCGGCGUUGGUCGGAGUUACGGGGCGGAAAGGGGGCGGAGGGGGGUGAUGGGGGCCGGGGGGAAAGCCCCCGGCCUAACCGGGGAGGGUCGGCGGGGACGGGUGAGCUUGAGGGUAGCAGGGGCUGGUGGAAUUCCCGGUGUAGUGGUGAAAUGCGUAGAGAUCGGGAGGAACACCCGUGGCGAAGGCGGCCAGCUGGGCUACACCUGACACUGAGGCGCGAAGGCGUGGGGAGCGAACGGGAUUAGAUACCCCGGUAGUC